UACGAGGGGGGCAAGCGUUGUUCGGAAUUAUUGGGCGUAAAGGGCGCGUAGGCGGUGCUAUAAGUCUGUGGUGAAAUCUCUGGGCUCAACUCAGAGUCUGCCAUAGAAACUGUAGUGCUAGAGUGUGGGAGAGGUGAGUGGAAUUCCUGGUGUAGCAGUGAAAUGCGUAGAUAUCAGGAGGAAUACCGAUGGCGAAGGCAGGUCUCUGGGCUGACACUGACGCUCAUGCACGAAAGCGUGGGGAGCAAACAGG
rnacentral:rRNA from 1 species